rnacentral:lncRNA from 1 species
UGGUGAAGAGCGUGAGCUCUCUCCGACAGUGGCUGACAGAUGUGUCACAGAGCCACAGGCCACAUCCCUGGGGGACGCCCCAGAGGACUCGGGAAAUCAAGGAACAAUAGUCUCCUUGACUCAGUGAUAUUUUGUUUCUGAUUCUGUAUUGCCAGCCCAUCGGGUUUUGCCUGCUACUCAGUCCUGGUCUCAUUGUUGGACGUCCAUUGCCUGUCUUUAUUGUCUUGUCUAAGAGAUCUCAAAGAACCCACUGGCAUUUUCACACCAGCCUACUUGGGAUGACUGCCAACAACUCCUAGGGACUCUCUUCAUGACAGAGGAACAAAAGGGAAUCCUCCUGGAAGCUAGAAAAAAAAAUAUCCUCGGACCAGAUGGGCAACCGACACAACUUCCCAACAUAAUUAAAGCCGGCUUCCCCUUGAACCGACCCAACUGGGACCCCAACACCUUUGAAGGUAGGGAACAUCUGUCCACUUAUCACCGGGCUCUAAUGGUGGGUUUCCAAGCGGCCACUAGGCGACCAACUAAUUUGACCAAGGUGAGAGAGAUUAUUCAAGGGCCUGAUGAAUCUCCCUCUAUGUUUCUAGAGAGAAUUAUGGAGGCAUAUAGGAGAUAUACUCCUUUCUAUCCUCAGGCAGAGGAUCAAAGGGCAUCUGUCAUGAUGGCCUUUAUUGGGCAAGCUGCCCUGGAUAUUAAAAGAAAGUUACAACACUUAGAUGGAUUACAAGAUAUCACUUUGAGAGAUUUAGUUAGAGAGGUUGAGAAGGUAUAGUAUAAGAGAGAAACUGAGGAGGGGAAGGGAGCAGGGGGAGGAUGAGAGAAGCAAAAGACAGACUAAGGCGCUGACUAAGCUCCUGGUCAUGACAGCAAAUAGGCCAGAAAUUAAGAAACAGGGAGACAGGAAGGAAUACCUGGGCCCACACCAGAGGCCACCCCUGGCCUCAGAUCAAUAUGCCUACUGUAAAAAAAAAACACUAAGCCAAAGAGUGCCCUAAAAAGAGACAGCCACGCCAGCCAGCCAUUCUGACUCUGGAGGAUGACUAAAAAUGUCAGGGCUCAGAUCCCCUCCCCGAGCUCGGGGUAACUUUUGAAGUGGAGGGGACCCCAGUAAACUUUGAAGUGGAUACAGGGGCAGUAUACUCAGUCCUUAAGGCCCCAUUGGGCCCUCUAUUAAAUAAAAGGUCUCUAAUUCAAGGGACUAACAGCAGUAAAUAUCGGGCUUGGACAACUAAGAAGACCAUGGACCUGGGGAAAGGAAAAAUCCAUCACUCCUUACUAGUAAUCCCAGAAUGCCCAGCCCCAUUGAUAGGCAGAAAUCUGCUCACCAAGCUCCAGGCCAAAAUAACUUUUAACCCUGAAGGUCCCCAAAUGAAAUUUCUAAAUCCUUCAGUAAAAAUUCCUAUAGUCAUGGCUUUAACUAUGUCAGUAAAAGAUGAACAUCAACUCUUCACACCCCCCAAGACUGAUCAAACAGUCAAGCUACCCCAGAAAUGGAUAACAGAUUACCCAGAUGCCUGGGCAGAAAUUGCUAGGUUGGGCCUAGCCGUGAAACAACCUCCAAUAACAGUGGAGUUAAAAACCUCAGCCUCCCCAAUCAAUGUCAAACAAUAUCCUCUGGAAAAAAAACAACUAAAGAUGGGAUAAGGCCCCAUAUUCAGAAAUAUCUGGCCUUAGGGGUCCUAAGGCCCUGUCAAUCAGCCUGGAACACUCCCCUGCUACCAGUAAGAAAAGCCAGGAACUGGGGACUAUCACCCCAUUCAAGACCUAAAAGAGAUCAACAACAGAGUGCAGGACAUUCACCCCAUGGUACCUAAUCCGUACAAUCUGCUUAACACUCUAAACCCUGAGAGAAAAUGGUAUAUGGUAUACUGUUCUGGACUUAAAGGAUGCUUUCUUUUGCUUGCCUCUGCAUAAAGAUAGUCAGUUGCUGUUUGCUUUCGAGUGGGUAAACCCAGAAACUGGAACGUCUGAUCAACUAACUUGGACCAGACACCAACAGGGGUUCAAAAACUCCCCCACUCUCUUUGAUGAAGCCCUCCACAGAGAUCUCAAUAACUUUAGAACUAUGCACCCUGAAGUAACCCUGCUUCAAUAUGUGGAUGACCUGCUACUGGCAGCAGACACCAAGGAAAACUGUGAGUCUGGUACCCAAGCACUAUUAUCCGAGCUUGCUCAACUCGGAUAUAAAGCUUCUGCCAAAAAGGCCCAAAUUUGCCAGCAAGAAGUAAUCUUCCUGGACUAUUCCCUUAGGGCUGGUAAACGAUGGCUCACUGAGCUCAGAAAACAAACCAUUGUGCAGAUACCGCCCCCAUCUAACAGGAGGGUGGAUGAAGAGGCUACAUUGGCAGCCCUAAACGGAGUAACCAUGUUAACACCUUCCACACCGGGGGAACAUAAGUCAGGAGAUUUAACUACGUCAGAGCACCCCAACAACUUAACAUCUAAGGACACUGACAUUGAACUCCUCGACUUCACUGAGCCCAGCCUGCAAUUUCAGAAAGUACCUAUGAGGAACCAGACCAGGACAAUUCUGGGAAAUGGACUUUACUGAAAUUAAGCCAGCAAGGUAUGGACUUAAAUAUCUCCUAAUCUUUGUAGAUACAUUUUCAGGAUGGAUUAAAGCCUUCCCCACAAAAAAAAAAAGAUGCAAAUCGUGGUCAAAAAGAUCCUGGAAGAUAUUUUUCCAGGAUACAGCCUGCCUAAGGUAAUAGGGUCUGAUAAUGGACCGGCAUUCGUGGCCCAGGUAAGUCAGGGGUUGGCCAGGACCCUGGGGAUUAAUUGGAAGUUACAUUGUGCUUAUAAACCCCA